UGAGAUACCUAAGGGAGAUAACUCAGAGAACUGAUUUGUUGGAGAAAAAUCAGCAAAACAGACCACGAAAAUGCUGGUACCUUUAACUCCAGAAAGUGAGAUACCUAAGGGAGAUAACUCAGAGAACUGAUUUGUUGGAGAAAAAUCAGCAAAACAGACCACGAAUAUUCUGGUACCUUUAACUCCAGAGUAUACAUCACCUUCAAUUGACAAUUCAACGAUUCAUUUUCCCCUGAAACUCCAAAGUCACUGCCUCUCUGUGUUAUUCUAACUUCAAUUCUAAAUCUAUCAGUGGUGCUUCUUGCUGUUGAAAGUGACUGCAAAAAAUACUCUUUUGAAGGCUCUGUGUUGAUUUGUUUUGUAAGGUAUGUUUUUUUUU